rnacentral:rRNA from 1 species
ACAGGGGCAUUGCCUCAGUAACGGCGAGUGAAGCGGCAAAAGCUCAAAUUUGAAAUCUGGCUGCUUUUUUAGUAGUCCGAGUUGUAAUUUGAAGAAUAGAUCCUUGGAGAGGCGCCUUGUCUAUGUUCCUUGGAACAGGACGUCGCAGAGGGUGAGAAUCCCGUUUGGCGAGGUGUGCUGAUCCGUGUAAGGGCUGUUCGACGAGUCGAGUUGUUUGGGAAUGCAGCUCUAAGUGGGUGGUAAAUUCCAUCUAAAGCUAAAUAUUGGCGAGAGACCGAUAGCGAACAAGUACAGUGAUGGAAAGAUGAAAAGAACUUUGAAAAGAGAGUGAAAAAGUACGUGAAAUUGUUGAAAGGGAAGGUUAUUAGAUCAGACUUGGAUUUUUUAUUAUAUUUGUCUCCUUGUGGGGCAUUCACUAAUUUUUAAUCCAGGCCAGCAUCGAUUGGGAUGGCGGGAAAAAGAGGGAGGAACGUGGCUGUGCAUUUAUGUGCAGUGUUUAUAGCCUUUCUUAAUACCGCCUGUCUCGAUCGAGGACUGCGGCAAAUUUAUUUUUGCCUAGGAUGCUGGCGUAAUGAUCUAAUAUCGCCCGUCUUGAAMMACGGRACAC